UCCAAUAAGAAAGAGAAAUUAGUACCAUUUAUUUUUUACUUCUUCUUUUUCUCCUAAUUGCUUUCUGUUAUCCCAACUAAUGGCCAUCCACAUCCAACUAUCGCAGGUGCCAUCAUCCUCGACCUCUAUAACCAGGUAAACCAACUCUUCUCUUUGGUUUUGACUUUCUUAAUUUCUCUACCUAAUAAAAUUUUCUAACAUCAUUUACCAAUGCUCUAUUUUUUAGUUUAUAUGCAGGAGUUGAAUAACACAAGGAGCAACUCCACAAUCCUUUGAUGAGAAAAUCGUCUUUUGUUAUAAUUGAGGGCCUUAAUUUAUGGCUUAAGGAAGGAGUUCUUGAUAUUCUUUUGACGAUGAGGUAAAUUUCUAUUGAUAUAGUGUUUUUUUUCUAAAAUACUUUAUUUGUUCUUCAAAUUUUUUGAUGUAGGGUAUAUUGUAUAGUUAACGAUUUUGUAUAGAAGUUACUAUCUCUUUCUUAUUUUAUUAUUAUUGAUUCACUAAUUAAAGUUAUUUUUAUGACUUCAGUUUGAAGAUUUAUUUUAUUUAAAAUAAUGAAAUCAAAAGUAUUUAUAAUUUUUUUUCUUUACACAGGUAUAUGAAGGUCUAAAAAGUGUCUGGGAAGAUUGUAGAUAAGGGACGCUGCAUUGGCACAUGAGGAAGCAACAUGCUUGUCUUUUUUAGUUUACCAUUGUUCAUGUAUUUCAAUUAGACUUUUUAUGUAUUUCACAUGUUUUUCUUAGAAUAAUUAUAGAUGUAUUAGU
rnacentral:lncRNA from 1 species